GACGAACGCUGGCGGCGUGCUUAACACAUGCAAGUCGAACGGAAAGGCCCUGCUUUUGUGGGGUGCUCGAGUGGCGAACGGGUGAGUAACACGUGAGUAACCUGCCCUUGACUUUGGGAUAACUUCAGGAAACUGGGGCUAAUACCGGAUAGGAGCUCCUGCUGCAUGGUGGGGGUUGGAAAGUUUCGGCGGUUGGGGAUGGACUCGCGGCUUAUCAGCUUGUUGGUGGGGUAGUGGCUUACCAAGGCUUUGACGGGUAGCCGGCCUGAGAGGGUGACCGGCCACAUUGGGACUGAGAUACGGCCCAGACUCCUACGGGAGGCAGCAGUGGGGAAUAUUGCACAAUGGUCGGAAGCCUGAUACAGCAACGCCGCGUGCGGGAUGACGGCCUUCGGGUUGUAAACCGCUUUCGCCUGUGACGAAGCGUGAGUGACGGUAAUGGGUAAAGAAGCACCGGCUAACUACGUG
rnacentral:rRNA from 1 species